GACGAACGCUGGCGGCGUGCUUAACACAUGCAAGUCGAACGGAAAGGCCCUGCUUUUGUGGGGUGCUCGAGUGGCGAACGGGUGAGUAACACGUGAGUAACCUGCCCUUGACUUUGGGAUAACUUCAGGAAACUGGGGCUAAUACCGGAUAGGAGCUCCUGCUGCAUGGUGGGGGUUGGAAAGUUUCGGCGGUUGGGGAUGGACUCGCGGCUUAUCAGCUUGUUGGUGGGGUAGUGGCUUACCAAGGCUUUGACGGGUAGCCGGCCUGAGAGGGUGACCGGCCACAUUGGGACUGAGAUACGGCCCAGACUCCUACGGGAGGCAGCAGUGGGGAAUAUUGCACAAUGGGCGGAAGCCUGAUGCAGCAACGCCGCGUGCGGGAUGACGGCCUUCGGGUCGUAAACCGCUUUCGCCUGUGACGAAGCGUGAGUGACGGUAAUGGGUAAAGAAGCACCGGCCAACUACGUG
rnacentral:rRNA from 1 species